CAAACGGCCCUUUUCAGGGCCACUACAUUUCUAUGCAACCGACUG
rfam:Trichuris muris Edinburgh genomic scaffold, scaffold244